rnacentral:tRNA from 1 species
GGAGCUGUAGCUCAGUGGUAGAGCCCCUGCCUCGCACGUGGGAGGCACAAGGUUGGAACCUCAGCACCA